UUAAUUAAAUCUAUUGGGUUAUGUGGAAAUCAUGUAUGGAGAUGCUAAACUUUGUCUCGGUUAUGUGCCAUCCGAUUCAAUUGGGAAUCUCAUUGUUUAGGGUUUACUAUCGUUUAUCAAAACUUGGAUAAGAUGACUGCUAAUUUUGAAAUUAAGCUCUAUUAUUUUGUGAUGGGAGGUUAUUAUUCUUGAAAGGUGAAUGCUCUUCUUCUUUCAUACAGUAUUUGCUCUUUAGAGCAGGUUGAAAUAAUUGGGGAUUUCAUUGUUUAGGGAUUACAGCCGCAUCCAAAAACUUGGGUAAGACGACUGCUAAUUUUGAAGUUCAGCACUAUUAAUUCGUGAUGGAUGUUAUUAUUCUUGAAAGGUGGUGGAAGUAAUUUAUUGUUGAUUGAGGAGUAUUCAUCUGAUACACUCGUCUAUUGAGUGGCAAUCUUCGGACUUCUAGCAGUUUUAACUCCUCAAGGGAUACAGGGCGACUCUAGGUUCAAGGCUCCAAUUGUUCAUGCACUUUCGUAGAGGAAAGUUCUGGCGAGCAAUUGGAAAUAGUGGCCAAAGACAAUCUCAUCUAUGGGAAUUUAGUGAUGACAUUGGACAAUUAAAAUUUUUAAUUCAUGAUACUAUAGUAGUACAUUUGGAUUUGUAAAGUUGAAAUACUAGCAUGCCAAUUGAAACUGUAACGACCCGACCGGUCGUUUUGAGUUCUA